GACGAACGCUGGCGGCGUGCCUAAUACAUGCAAGUCGAGCGGACUUUCAAGAAGCUUGCUUUUUGAAAGUUAGCGGCGGACGGGUGAGUAACACGUGGGUAACCUGCCUGCAAGACGGGGAUAACUCCGGGAAACCGGGGCUAAUACCGGAUAAUAUCUUCCUUCGCAUGAAGGAAGGUUGAAAGGCGGCGCAAGCUGCCGCUUGCAGAUGGGCCCGCGGCGCAUUAGCUAGUUGGUGAGGUAACGGCUCACCAAGGCGACGAUGCGUAGCCGACCUGAGAGGGUGAUCGGCCACACUGGGACUGAGACACGGCCCAGACUCCUACGGGAGGCAGCAGUAGGGAAUCUUCCGCAAUGGACGAAAGUCUGACGGAGCAACGCCGCGUGAGCGAAGAAGGUCUUCGGAUCGUAAAGCUCUGUUGUCAGGGAAGAACAAGUACCGUUCGAACAGGGCGGUACCUUGACGGUACCUGACCAGAAAGCCACGGCUAACUACGUG
rnacentral:rRNA from 1 species